rnacentral:lncRNA from 1 species
AAGAAAAAGAAGGUAUCCAGAUAAAACAAAAGUGUAAAAACAAUUGAGGGAGACAGCAUCACUGCAGAGAGACAGCAAUUUGUCUUCUACCUACUCAUCCAUCCUUCUGGAACUGAAAGGCAGCUUUGAUAUGGAAAGAUGCAACAAGAGCAGGGAAGAAAGCUGUAAGCUGACUGUGGUGCCAAAUACAAAAAGCAGCUGAGGACAGGAUUCUGAGGUUCUCUGUGGCUGGCAAAGGGCAUGCUCUCUACAUUCAGAGCUUUCACGAGGAGAAAAUACCAGUUUCUCAAAGCUGCAACUUUUUAUGGAAAAAAAGUUCAUAUGAAUGAUGGUUUUGUCAACAGGGCUUCAAUGGCCCAGAGAAGAAUUUGUUGUGAAAAGGAAGAAAUGAUGCUACUUCUGCACUUUCUUGACACUUCCCAUCUUGCUUUCCACACCCCAGAGAAGAUCUGAGGUAAUUCAGACUGGAAGUCUGUUUCUUCUCUUUUUCUAUAAUUUGCUUUUAUUUCAAAAGGUCUAUUCUUUAUUCCUAAAUGGAAUUUAAAUCCAACAGUGUUUUACUAAUAAAUAACACUGCUGGACCCUAUAAAUAUUUUUG